UGCUGGCCGUCCUGUCCCUGGCCCGGCUGCUGCCCCUGACCCGGCUGGCCUUUGUCACCGCGCCGCCCCGGCAUCAUGCCGUUCUUCUUCAUAUCGUCGAGCAGCUUGCUCAGCCGGUCGCGCAGCGCCUGCUGGUCCUGACGCAGGCCCUCCAUCUGGUUCUGGUCGCCCUGCUCGCCGCGGCUGCGGUCCCGGCGCGAAUCCUGGCCCUGCUUGUAUGUCUUGUCGCGCAACUGUUGCUGCUUGCGGAUCAUGUCGCCGAGUUCG
rnacentral:misc_RNA from 1 species